rnacentral:rRNA from 1 species
CAGCCGCCACGGUAAUACGGAGGGUGCAAGCGUUAAUCGGAAUUACUGGGCGUAAAGCGCACGCAGGCGGUCUGACAAGUCAGAUGUGAAAUCCCCGGGCUUAACCUGGGAACUGCAUUUGAAACUGUCAGGCUGGAGUCUUGUAGAGGGGGGUAGAAUUCCAGGUGUAGCGGUGAAAUGCGUAGAGAUCUGGAGGAAUACCGGUGGCGAAGGCGGCCCCCUGGACAAAGACUGACGCUCAGGUGCGAAAGCGUGGGGAGCAAACAGGAUUAGAGACCCCAGUAGUCCCUGUCUCUUAUAC